UAGAUACCCUGGUAGUCCACGCCGUAAACGAUGUCUACUCGGAGUUUGGUGUCCUGAACACUGGGCUCUCAAGCUAACGCAUUAAGUAGACCGCCUGGGGAGUACGGCCGCAAGGUUAAAACUCAAAUGAAUUGACGGGGGCCCGCACAAGCGGUGGAGCAUGUGGUUUAAUUCGAUGCAACGCGAAGAACCUUACCUAUCUUGACAUCCACAGAAGCCAGUAGAGAUACAGGUGUGCCUUCGGGAACUG
rnacentral:rRNA from 1 species